rnacentral:rRNA from 1 species
UACGUAGGGUGCAAGCGUUAUUCGGAAUUACUGGGCGUAAAGCGUGCGCAGGCGGCUUUGCAAGUCAGAUGUGAAAUCCCCGGGCUUAACCUGGGAACUGCAUUUGUGACUGCAUGGCUAGAGUGCGGGAGAGGGGGAUGGAAUUCCGCGUGUAGCAGUGAAAUGCGUAGAUAUGCGGAGGAACACCGAUGGCGAAGGCAAUCCCCUGGGCCUGCACUGACGCUCAGGCACGAAAGCGUGGGGAGCAAACAGG